rnacentral:rRNA from 1 species
UACGUAGGUGACCAGCGUUGUCCGGAUUUACUGGGCGUAAAGAGCGCGCAGGCGGUCGUUCAAGUCGAGUGUGAAAGCCCCCGGCUCAACUGGGGAGGGUCACUCGAUACUGAUCGACUUGAAGGCAGGAGAGGGAAGCGGAAUUCCCGGUGUAGUGGUGAAAUGCGUAGAUAUCGUGAGGAACACCAGAGGCGAAGGCGGCUACCUGGACAAUUGCUGACGCUCAGGCACGAAAGCGUGGGGAGCAAAAGGG